AGUAUAUAACUAACCUCACCUCGGAUACGCAAAGCGCCAAAGGACGUGGGUUGCUUUCAAAACUAAGAAACUAAAGAGGAACUAGCUGAGUUUAAACAGCGUACAUCACAAGUUACAAGUCGAAUUCACUUAAGUCGGACAUAACUUUCAUAUUGAAUGUUCUAUAGUAUCUAUUUUUAAGUGCUGAGAUAACAUGAUGCCCUUCAAAGCGGUAGGGGUAAUCCAUCCAACUACCUACCACCCUGCACAUUGUUUCAAGUUUGUUUUCACACAAAAGCAAUCGACCGUGAACUUAUCUGAUCUUCGAACAUCAAACACUCCAAAUUGGUCUGAUGUUAUUAUAUUGUUAGCUGCAAAUACUAAAUUCUGGGAACUAUACCAAUAUUGAAAUUAUUAAUAUUG